UCGAGAAUCUUCGGCAAUGGGCGCAAGCCUGACCGAGCGACGCCGCGUGCGGGAUGAAGGCCUUCGGGUUGUAAACCGCUGUCGUAGGGGAGGAAGAUCCUGUGAAGAACAGGGUUUGACCGAUCCUAGGAGGAAGGGCCGGCUAAUCUCGUGCCAGCAGCCGCGGUAAUACGAGAGGCCCAAACGUUAUUCGGAAUUACUGGGCUUAAAGAGUUCGUAGGCGGUAUGGAAAGUAGGGUGUGAAAGCCCUCGGCUCAACCGAGGAAUUGCGCUCUAAACUUCCGUACUUGAGGAAGCUAGAGGUGAGCGGAACUGAUGGUGGAGCGGUGAAAUGCGUUGAUAUCAUCAGGAACACCGGAGGCGAAGGCGGCUCACUGGGGCUUUUCUGACGCUGAGGAACGAAAGCCAGGGUAGCGAACGG
rnacentral:rRNA from 1 species